rnacentral:rRNA from 1 species
UACGAAGGGGGCGAGCGUUGUUCGGAAUUACUGGGCGUAAAGGGCGCGUAGGCGGCCGUUCAAGUCAGAUGUGAAAGUCCUGGGCUUAACCUGGGGACUGCAUUUGAUACUGAUUGGCUUGAAUGCAGGAGAGGAUAGCGGAAUUCCCAGUGUAGAGGUGAAAUUCGUAGAUAUUGGGAAGAACACCGGUGGCGAAGGCGGCUAUCUGGACUGUGAUUGACGCUGAGGCGCGAAAGCCAGGGGAGCAAACAGG